rnacentral:tRNA from 1 species
AACGAAAUAGCUUAAUGGUAGAGUACCGGAAUCAUAAUCCGUUUGUUGUGGGUUUAAGUCCCAUUUUCGUUA